GGCAGGUUCUCCUACGGGGGAGGAGCAGUAGGGAAUCUUCCACAAUGGACGCAAGUCUGAUGGAGCAACGCCGCGUGAGUGAAGAAGGUUUUCGGAUCGUAAAGCUCUGUUGUUGGUGAAGAAGGACAUGGGUAGUAACUGAUCUAUGUUUGACGGUAAUCAACCAGAAAGUCACGGCUAACUACGUGCCAGCAGCCGCGGUAAUACGUAGGUGGCAAGCGUUGUCCGGAUUUAUUGGGCGUAAAGCGAACGCAGGCGGGAGAACAAGUCAGCUGUGAAAGCCCUCGGCUUAACCGAGGAACGGCAACUGAAACUGUUUUUCUUGAGUGCAGAAGAGGAGAGUGGAACUCCAUGUGUAGCGGUGAAAUGCGUAGAUAUAUGGAAGAACACCAGUGGCGAAGGCGGCUCUCUGGUCUGUAACUGACGCUGAGGUUCGAAAGCAUGGGUAGCGAACAGGAUUAGAUACCCUGGUAGUCCAUGCCGUAAACGAUGAGUGCUAAGUGUUGGGAGGUUUCCGCCUCUCAGUGCUGCAGCUAACGCAUUAAGCACUCCGCCCUGGGGAGGCGCCG
rnacentral:rRNA from 1 species